rnacentral:rRNA from 1 species
GACGAACGCUGGCGGCGUGCUUAACACAUGCAAGUCGAACGGAAAGGCCCUGCUUUUGUGGGGUGCUCGAGUGGCGAACGGGUGAGUAACACGUGAGUAACCUGCCCUUGACUUUGGGAUAACUUCAGGAAACUGGGGCUAAUACCGGAUAGGAGCUCCUGCUGCAUGGUGGGGGUUGGAAAGUUUCGGCGGUUGGGGAUGGACUCGCGGCUUAUCAGCUUGUUGGUGGGGUAGUGGCUUACCAAGGCUUUGACGGGUAGCCGGCCUGAGAGGGUGACCGGCCACAUUGGGACUGAGAUACGGCCCAGACUCCUACGGGAGGCAGCGGUGGAGAAUCUUGCACAAUGGGCGGAAGCCUGAUGCGGCAGCGCCGCGUGCGGGAUGACGGCCUUCGGGUUGUAAACCGCUUUCGCCUGUGACGAAGCGUGAGUGACGGUAAUGGGUAAAGAAGCACCGGCUAACUACGUG